UACGUAGGGUGCAAGCGUUAAUCGGAAUUACUGGGCGUAAAGCGCGCGCAGGCGGUCGUUCAAGUCGCGUGUGAAAGCCCCCCGGCUCAACUGGGGAGGGUCACGCGAUACUGAUCGACUCGAAGGCAGGAGAGGGUAGUGGAAUUCCCGGUGUAGUGGUGAAAUGCGUAGAUAUCGGGAGGAACACCAGUGGCGAAGGCGACUACCUGGCCUGUUUCUUGACGCUGAGGCGCGAAAGCUAGGGGAGCAAACGGG
rnacentral:rRNA from 1 species